rnacentral:ncRNA from 1 species
AGAUAAGAAACGCCGGUUACUUAUCAAUAAAAGUGUGAACCAAUUAUUCUUAGGCCUUAGAUAGAAUAAUUGAUUGGCACUUUUUUUG